AAUUAAUAGCAUUUGAAAUCGAUUUUUUUUGUAACAUUAUAAAUAAACACCUUAGCCUACUGGCCCAAUCUUAUAUUGGCCCAUCUUUUGUUUAGGGGACGCAAAAGCGUUAGCCUACUAUACGAGAUAAAUAUCAAUAUAUUGCGCCCCGAGAAAUGUCCCUUAUAGCAUAUAUACUAGGUAAGUGCGGCCUUUUGCAUUUCAACGCAUCAUUGGUACAUAUGCUGAAAUUUUCAUUGGGAGAACCAUUGUGUCAAAACGUAAGUGAGUCGUAGUUCCAUGCCUCGCGUGACGUCACAACGGGUAGGGCGCAAUCACAUGGAUCUCGGGGCUGGACAGGAAACGGAGACGCCAGGAACGCGCAUCGGUCCACAGCUCAGAACGGGAAUGGAAGCGGGAGAGGAACGGGAGGCUCGCUCGUCUCAUCAUCAAAUAUAAGCGAUCGCCACGGGAAGCGAAUCCCGAUUGAGGUGGGAGAGGAGCGGGGAUUCUGUCGCUGGAUUUGCGCAACACAUCAGUGGCUUUUUUCCAUUGUUACCGUUUCCUCCGGACAAGACAGAAGCCGCAGAAAGCGUCGGCUGGUUUGCGACAAUUGAUUGAGGACCUUUUCUAUUCAGAAAUCAGCUUGGCACUGCCACAGAACCAAAGGUAAGCUUUCUCUAGCACUAAAACAGCUGACUGCAUGAUUAGNAACACACCACUGAAUUCAUGACUGUCUUUUUUUCUCUAAACAUUCCAUAAUACUUUUUAAUAGCACUCUGAAUACUUCCUUAGACAUGUGAUGCGUGUUUUGAAAGGAACAUAAUGUCUGUGGACAUACUCAACCCUUAAAACCUCCCAGAGGUUAGCGAAAUCUCAAAUAACGCUGCUUUAAGCCUCGGAUCCUCCCGUUCGCUCGCCGCAGAGUGUCUGAAUUGGUAAUUCCAUUUGAAAAGUGAAAGCAUGUGGGGAUGUAUGGAANCUAGCACUAAAACAGCUGACUGCAUGAUUAGUCAAAAUUCCUUUACAUUUUAUAAAUAUAGGUGAUGUGUGUAAUGUUCAGAUAUUGGAAUCUCAGGUGGUGGACUGCUGUAUAUAUCUAUAUAUAUAUAUAUAUAUGUAAUUCCAUUUG
rnacentral:lncRNA from 12 species